rnacentral:rRNA from 1 species
AGGACGAACGCUGGCGGCGUGCUUAACACAUGCAAGUCGAGCGGUAAGGCCUUUCGGGGUACACGAGCGGCGAACGGGUGAGUAACACGUGGGUGAUCUGCCCUGCACUUCGGGAUAAGCCUGGGAAACUGGGUCUAAUACCGGAUAUGACCUCCUAUCGCAUGGUGGGUGGUGGAAAGAUUUAUCGGUGCAGGAUGGGCCCGCGGCCUAUCAGCUUGUUGGUGGGGUAAUGGCCUACCAAGGCGACGACGGGUAGCCGACCUGAGAGGGUGACCGGCCACGACUGGGACUGAGACACGGCCCAGACUCCUACGGGAGCAGCAGUGGGGAAUAUUGGACAAGUGGGACGAAAGCCUGAUCCAGCAACGCCGCGUGAGGGAUGACGGCCUUCGGGUUGUAAACCUCUUUCAGCGCCGACGAAGCGAGAGUGACGGUAGGCGACAGAAGAAGCACGGCCAACUACGUGCCAGCAGCCGC